GAGGAAUAUUGGUCAAUGGGCGGUAGCCUGAACCAGCCAAGUAGCGUGCAGGAAGACGGCCCUAUGGGUUGUAAACUGCUUUUGAAGGGGAAUAACGUGCGCCACGCGCUGGUGCAGUGCAUGUACCUUUCGAAUAAGGAUCGGCUAACUCCGUGCCAGCAGCCGCGGUAGUACGGAGGAUCCGAGCGUUAUCCGGAUUUAUUGGGUUUAAAGGGUGCGUAGGCGGAUUUUUAAGUCAGCUGUGAAAUUUCGGCGCUCAACAUCGGCACUGCAGUUGAAACUGGAAGUCUUGAGAGUGCAAGAGGCACGCGGAAUUCAUGGUGUAGCGGUGAAAUGCAUAGAUAUCAUGAAGAACCCCGAUUGCGAAAGCAGCGUGCUGGGGCAUAUCUGACGCUGAGUCACGAAAGUGCGGGUAUCAAAC
rnacentral:rRNA from 1 species